rnacentral:tRNA from 1 species
GCAUCUCCCUUUUAAGGAGGGGGCCGUUGGUUCGAAUCCAACACGGGACACCA